rnacentral:tRNA from 1 species
CCGGUAGCUCAGUGGAUAGAGUAGUUGCCUUCUAAGCAAUUGGUCGCGGGUUCGAUCCUCGCCCG